ensembl:lncRNA BTN2A3P butyrophilin subfamily 2 member A3, pseudogene
AUACUUAGGGAAAUCUUGGGACACUGUGGAAGCCCAGAGAAUCUGAUCCCGGGUCCCACAACUUCACAUAUCGCGAGUAAGUGGGAGGCAAAGAAAAUUCUUUUUCUCCUCUUUUGGGACAGUUUGUGACUAGUAGUGCCUGUGCCCCUGGAAAGGUUGGAGACUUGGGGGACGACUGGAGAAUUGCCAUUUGAGGACCAAAGGAGAAAAGAAACUACACGCUAAUUCUAGAAGGCCUCCUGUCCCUGCCUGCUCUGGGUGCUCAUGGAACCAGCUGCUGCCCUGCACUUCUCCCGGCCAGCCUCCCUCCUCCUCCUCCUCAGCCUGUGUGCACUGGUCUCAGCCCAGGUCACUGUCGUGGGGCCCACUGAUCCCAUCCUGGCCAUGGUGGGAGAAAACACUACGUUACGAUGCUGUCUGUCACCCGAGGAAAAUGCUGAGGACAUGGAGGUGCGGUGGUUCCAGUCUCAGUUCUCCCCUGCAGUGUUUGUGUAUAAGGGUGGAAGAGAGAGAACAGAGGAGCAGAAGGAGGAGUACCGAGGGAGAACCACCUUUGUGAGCAAAGACAGCAGGGGCAGCGUGGCCCUGAUCAUACACAAUGUCACAGCCGAGGAUAACGGCAUCUACCAGUGUUACUUCCAAGAAGGCAGGUCCUGCAAUGAGGCCAUCCUGCACCUUGUGGUGGCAGGUGCGUUGCUUCAUUUUGCUUUGUUACUUUGGCACUGUGUGACUUUGGGUAAAGCUUCUCUUCUAAAUUCCAGCCCAUUGCAGACCAGCACAAUCCUCUUUCCUGGAUCCCCAUUCCGCAGGGACACUCUCCCUAUGAAAAGAAGAUUCCAGGGAAAAAUCCUUCCUCCUGCACAAGGGCCACCAUGAGUGAGUUUGCCCUGCUAAGCCGUGGGCUUGACUUCUUGAGAAGCACAUGCAGAACUCAGUUGAGGCCAUGAGCCGGGGAAAAUGGUGAAUCUCGGAAGAGAAGUCCUAUGCCUGCCUUAGCACUGAGCUGUGCACUUCUGAGAGUGAGAGGAGACACCAUCAAUAAUUGUCUUGGGACAACUGGAAUAAACAGUGACUGCCCAGAGAACUACGAUAUUUGAAAUCUUAUUUCUUGAUGAAUAUUCAUCCUGACUUCUUUCCUGAAAUGCUGUUUGCAAAGAGAGUGACUUAUAUGACUGGACUCUGAGCCCGUCAUUGAAAUGAGAGACCACGAGGACGGGGGCAUCCAGCUGGAGUGCAUAUCUGGAGGGUGGUACCCAAAGCCCCUCACAGUGUGGAGGGACCCCUACGGUGAGGUCGUGCCUGCCCUGAAGGAGGUCUCCACCCCUGACGCAGACAGCCUCUUCAUGGUCACCACAGCUGUGAUCAUCAGAGACAAGUCUGUGAGGAACGUGUCCUGCUCUAUCAAUGACACCCUGCUCGGCCAGAAGAAAGAAAGUGUCAUUUUUAUUCCAGAAUCCUUUAUGCCCAGCAGGUCUCCAUGUGUGGUGAUCCUGCCUGUUAUCAUGAUUAUUCUGAUGAUACCCAUUGCCAUAUGCAUCUACUGGAUCAACAAUCUCCAAAAGGAAAAAAAAGAUUCUGUCAGGGCAAAAGGAGCUUGAACAGGAAAGGAAAGAAACUGCACUAAAGGAACUGGAGAAAGAACAUGUGGAAAAAGAGAAAGAACUUCAGAUAAACAGUAAAAGAGGCCAGAGCAACUUCUGAAGAAUUGCAUACGUUUAGCCUUUCCUGAACUACUCCAUGUACAAUUUGUGUUCUGCUCAUUUAGCAGCAUCUCAUGACAUUCAACCUCUGUCUGUCCCUUGCAGGAUGGAGAAGAACAUUCUUACAUGCUGGGUGCCCUCGUCAGUCAUUUAAAUCAGUUGUCAUCUGGUAAAAGGAACACAUAGGACCAACGAAGAAACCCUUUAUCCUCCAGGACAGUGUGAAGGGAAAGACUCACCUUAGUUGAUCCAAUGGGGAGAGGAGGAGCAGGACAUAAAGCCUCUGUGCUGGUUUGAGCCAAGUUGGAAAGUUUCUAACUAAAGAAAGUCCCAGAGAUCAUAGGUCUUGAAUAGAAAAGGGAAUAGAUUUUAGAAUGCUAAAAUUGUGAAUGAUUAAUUUGGGCUCAUUCCCCAAAUUCUCUGGAUUUCAUAAAGCCUCAGUUCUUCUCAACCUGAGGGUGCUGCUUACUGUCUCUGGAGAGACAGAAAUGCAGCUUCAGAGGCCAGGAUGGUGGCUCACACCUGUAAUCCCAGCACUUUGGGAGGCAGAGGUGGGAGGAUCAACUGAGGUUGGGCAUUCGAGACCAGCCUGACCAACAUGGAGAGAAACCCUGUUUCUACUAAAAAUAUAAAAUUAGCCAGGCACGGUGGCACAUACCUGUAACCCCAGCUCCUUGGGGGGCUGAGGCAGGAGAAUCACUUGAACCCGGGAGACAGAGGUUGCGGUGAGCCGAGAUUGCACCACUGCACUCAGGCCUGGCAACAAGAGCAAAGCUCAGUCUC